AAUGGCCUGUGGGAUGGCUUUCCAUGCCAGGAAGAGGUCACUUAGGAAGGGCUCCACAAAAGGAACUGGUUUAAUAGAGAAGAAACAAAAUUGGAGCAAAAGAAAAAAAGAACAUUUCAGAAGAGGGAAGUGUCUUCAAGAGAAGAUAAAUUAAUAAAAGAAAGGGAGAUUGCAUGAUGCAUCUUUGUUUGUUUGGGGACACACCCAGCAGAGCUCAGGAUUCACUCCUGGUGGCUUUGGGAGACCAUCUGGGUUCCAAGGAUCUAACCUGGGUCUGCCUCGUGAAAGAUCAGACCUGAGAUAUCUUUUCCAUCCUGAAACUCCUGUAUGGGUUGGUCGGUAAUACCUUCCACAACAUUGAAGCUAAAGGUAUCUUCAAAGAUGACUCGCCACUGCGGAAAUGGAAAUAGAGAUAAACAAAUGGGACUAUCUUAAAUUAAGAAGCUUCUGUACCUCAAAAGAAACAGUGUCCAGAAUACAAAGACAAUCAACAGAAUGGGAAAGGAUAUUCACCCAAUAUUCAUCUGAUAAAGGGUUGAU